rnacentral:rRNA from 1 species
AUGAACGCUAGCUACAGGCUUAACACAUGCAAGUCGAGGGGCAGCAUGGUCUUAGCUUGCUAAGGCCGAUGGCGACCGGCGCACGGGUGAGUAACACGUAUCCAACCUGCCGUCUACUCUUGGACAGCCUUCUGAAAGGAAGAUUAAUACAAGAUGGCAUCAUGAGUCCGCAUGUUCACAUGAUUAAAGGUAUUCCGGUAGACGAUGGGGAUGCGUUCCAUUAGAUAGUAGGCGGGGUAACGGCCCACCUAGUCUUCGAUGGAUAGGGGUUCUGAGAGGAAGGUCCCCCACAUUGGAACUGAGACACGGUCCAAACUCCUACGGGAGGCAGCAGUGAGGAAUAUUGGUCAAUGGGCGAGAGCCUGAACCAGCCAAGUAGCGUGAAGGAUGACUGCCCUAUGGGUUGUAAACUUCUUUUAUAAAGGAAUAAAGUCGGGUAUGGAUACCCGUUUGCAUGUACUUUAUGAAUAAGGAUCGGCUAACUCCGUGCCAGCAGCCGCGGUAAUACGGAGGAUCCGAGCGUUAUCCGGAUUUAUUGGGUUUAAAGGGAGCGUAGAUGGAUGUUUAAGUCAGUUGUGAAAGUUUGCGGCUCAACCGUAAAAUUGCAGUUGAUACUGGAUAUCUUGAGUGCAGUUGAGGCAGGCGGAAUUCGUGGUGUAGCGGUGAAAUGCUUAGAUAUCACGAAGAACUCCGAUUGCGAAGGCAGCCUGCUAAGCUGCAACUGACAUUGAGGCUCGAAAGUGUGGGUAUCAAACAGGAUGAGAUACCCUGGUAGUCCACACGGUAAACGAUGAAUACUCGCUGUUUGCGAUAUACAGCAAGCGGCCAAGCGAAAGCGUUAAGUAUUCCACCUGGGGAGUACGCCGGCAACGGUGAAACUCAAAGGAAUUGACGGGGGCCCGCACAAGCGGAGGAACAUGUGGUUUAAUUCGAUGAUACGCGAGGAACCUUACCCGGGCUUAAAUUGCAGAUGAAUUACGGUGAAAGCCGUAAGCCGCAAGGCAUCUGUGAAGGUGAUGCAUGGUUGUCGUCAGCUCGUGCCGUGAGGUGUCGGCUUAAGUGCCAUAACGAGCGCAACCCUUGUUGUCAGUUACUAACAGGUUCCGCUGAGGACUCUGAUAAGACUGCCAUCGUAAGAUGUGAGGAAGGUGGGGAUGACGUCAAAUCAGCACGGCCCUUACGUCCGGGGCUACACACGUGUUACAAUGGGGGGUACAGAGGGCCGCUACCACGCGAGUGGAUGCCAAUCCCCAAAACCUCUCUCAGUUCGGACUGGAGUCUGCAACCCGACUCCACGAAGCUGGAUUCGCUAGUAAUCGCGCAUCAGCCACGGCGCGGUGAAUACGUUCCCGGGCCUUGUACACACCGCCCGUCAAGCCAUGGGAGCCGGGGGUACCUGAAGUGCGUAACCGCGAGGAGCGCCCUAGGGUAAAACUGGUGACUGGGGCU